UUAUCGGGAUUACUGGGGCGUAAGCGCACGCAGGCGGUCUGUCAAGUCGGAUGUGAAAUCCCCGGGCUCAACCUGGGAACUGCAUUCGAAACUGGCAGGCUAGAGUCUUGUACAGGGGGGUAGAAUUCCAGGUGUAGCGGUGAAAUGCGUAGAGAUCUGGAGGAAUACCGGUGGCGAAGGCGGCCCCCUGGACAAAGACUGACGCUCAGGUGCGAAAGCGUGGGGAGCAAACAGGAUUAGAUACCCUGGUAGUCCACGCCGUAAACGAUGUCGACUUGGAGGUUGUGCCCUUGAGGCGUGGCUUCCGGAGCUAACGCGUUAAGUCGACCGCCUGGGGAGUACGGCCGCAAGGUUAAAACUCAAAUGAAUUGACGGGGGCCCGCACAAGCGGUGGAGCAUGUGGUUUAAUUCGAUGCAACGCGAAGAACCUUACCUACUCUUGACAUCCAGAGAACUUUCCAGAGAUGGAUUGGUGCCUUCGGGAACUCUGAGACAGGUGCUGCAUGGCUGUCGUCAGCUCGUGUUGUGAAAUGUUGGGUUAAGUCCCGCAACGAGCGCAACCCUUAUCCUU
rnacentral:rRNA from 1 species